CGGGGUGUGGCGCAGUUGGUAGCGCGUCCGGCUGGGGGCCGGGAGGUCGCAGGUUCAAGUCCUGUCACCCCGACCA
rnacentral:tRNA from 1 species